UCUUAGUGAUUUCUUCUUCAGUACUUUAACUGUCCUUUCGUUCUUUUAUUUUUCUCUUUCAUGGAUGCCAUGUUGUUUGGAAGCCUGUUUAGACCAAGUUAAUGGCCUUUUAGGCUUCCUCCACUUGAAUAGGAGUUCAUUUUUUGAAUAGUAAGAAUUCUAUGUCACAGGGGUAAUAGAAUUUUAGAGAUGCUUAGGUGGGGCAUGG